rnacentral:tRNA from 1 species
AGGGCUGUGGAUCAGUGGCAGAGCAUCUGCCUUCCAUGCAGAAGGUCAUCAGUUCAAUCCCUGGCAUCUCCAGCUUAA